CCUACGUGAGGCAGCAGUGAGGAAUAUUGGUCAAUGGCCGAGAGGCUGAACCAGCCAAGUCGCGUGAGGGAAGAAUGUCCUAUGGAUUGUAAACUUCUUUUGUCAGGGAGCAAAGUCACCCACGUGUGGGUGUUGGAGAGUACCUGAAGAAAAAGCAUCGGCUAACUCCGGGCCAGCAGCCGCGGUAAUAGGGGGGAUGCGAGCGUUAUCCGGAUUUAUUGGGUUUAAAGGGUGCGUAGGGGGGUUAUCAAGUCAGCGGUAAAAUCGUGGGGCUAAACUCCAUCCAGCCGUUGAAACUGAUGAUCUUGAGUGGGCGAGAGGUAAGCGGAAUGCGUGGUGUAGCGGUGAAAUGCAGAGAUAUCAGGAAGAACUCCGAUUGCGAAGGCGGCAUACCGGCGCCCGACUGACGCUGAAGCACGAAAGCGUGGGUAUCGAACAGGAUUAGAUACCCGGGUAGUC
rnacentral:rRNA from 1 species